rnacentral:lncRNA from 1 species
AGGCAGAAGCAAAAAUUCCAUUUCAAACAAGCUUUAUUACAGUACACACUUUGUUUUCCUCGAAAAAACAUAGUAUUUGUACUUGGUCUAGAUUCCAUCCUUACUGAUGGUCCAAAAGCAAGAAAAUUCCAGAUUGGUGAUGAAGUACAAACACGGAAAUCACUCGGAUAGGGAACCUUUUCAUGGUUUUGUUCCAUUCAAGACGGAGAAAAGUUGGUACAUUUGGUCUAUAAUCUAAUGUUGCAUUAAGUGUUAUUAUACGAUGCUUAUUUUAGUAAUGUAAAAUUUUAUACUAAAAAUUUGACACUCUAUAAACAAUGACGGAAUUUAAAUUGGUUUCUUUCCAACUUUCAACUUUCGUUCCUCCCUGUCCAGAAAUGAUUUCAUUCCAGCUUCCAAUGUCAGAAGCUUAAUCCGAUUUUUUGGUUCUAAGUUCAAUCCAUGAAGGUUUCUAAAGGAAUAUUAUAUAGAGUUUUUUCUAUUCCUGGUAUGUUAAGGUUAAGCUCUUCCUUCAGUUUGGUAUGAUCUCGUCAUUACACAAGUUUGAUAACGUGACAUAAAGAAAAAUUCAUAUCCCGGAAUUUACGUAUAUUGUACUAGUCUCGCAAGUUACAAUAUUCCCUUUAUCGGGACUUCAUAUUCAUUUGGGUAUUUUAUUCUUCCAGUCAAGAGAGCGGAGGGUUUAUAUAUAUAGUAUUAAAGUAUUUUCAUUAUCAUCGAGCUAUAGUCAAUGGGUAGGUCCCUAUUGGGUAAUCUCUGAUUAGAUGGUAAGAUAUAUACCGAGCCUACUGUGGCCGAGCGCCUAUGAGCGAGCCCAGUUGGUCGAGAUAUAGAGCCUAGUAUGGCCGAGCGCCUAUGAGCGAGCCUACUACGACAGAGCAGUUAUAUAUAUAUACCGGGCCUUAUAGGGCCGGAAAUCUAUUUACUCACUAUAUUGAGAGAGUUGAGUCAGUAGCAACAGGUAAGCAUACCUUCAGAUUAUCUUUGACUCCCAGUUACUUUCAGUUAUUGUAUUAUCAACUCAGUUUCAGUAUACUGCCUUACAUACUCGGAAUAUUAUUUCAUAUUGAUGCCCCUUUUCCUGGGGGCGCUGCAUUUCAUGCGUGUAGGUUCAGACAGACAGACGGGUAGACCUCCUCAUCAAGUGUUUCCCGAGUUCAGCUUGAUCGGUAAGCUCCAUGCCUUUCGGAGUUGCCGGGUCUAGAGCUUUAUGUAUAUCUUGUGUAUAUAUGUAUAUAUAUUAUGAGUAGGUUAGAGAGUUGUUCUGAUCACAGUAUGUCCAUCAGUAGAGGCUUAUAGACAUAUCCUGUCAGUUAGUGCAACAUGUUAGGCUUUUAGACCUUGUAUGUAUAUUUGGUUGGUUUGUUAGCUGUAGUAAUGAUGACGUCCUUGUCG